rnacentral:rRNA from 1 species
UACGUAGGGGGCAAGCGUUGUCCGGAAUCAUUGGGCGUAAAGCGCGCGUAGGCGGCCCGGUAAGUCCGUUGUGAAAGUCAAAGGCUCAACCUUUGAACGCCGAUGGAUACUGCCGGGCUAGAGUCCGGAAGAGGCGAGUGGAAUUCCUGGUGUAGCGGUGGAAUGCGCAGAUAUCAGGAGGAAUACCGGUGGCGAAAGCGACUCUCUGGACGGCAACUGACGCUGAGGCACGAAAGCGUGGGGAGCAAACAGG